AGCGGCGGACGGGUUAGUAACGCGUGGGAAUAUGCCCUUUGGUACGGAAUAGCCUCUGGAAACGGAGAGUAAUACCGUAUGAGCCCUUCGGGGGAAAGAUUUAUCGCCAAAGGAUUAGCCCGCGUUAGAUUAGGUAGUUGGUGGGGUAAUGGCCUACCAAGCCUACGAUCUAUAGCUGGUUUUAGAGGAUGAUCAGCAACACUGGGACUGAGACACGGCCCAGACUCCUACGGGAGGCAGCAGUGGGGAAUCUUGGACAAUGGGGGCAACCCUGAUCCAGCCAUGCCGCGUGAGUGAUGAAGGCCUUAGGGUCGUAAAGCUCUUUCGCCUGUGAAGAUAAUGACGGUAGCAGGUAAAGAAACCCCGGCUAACUCCGUGCCAGCAGCCGCGGUAAUACGGAGGGGGUUAGCGUUGUUCGGAAUUACUGGGCGUAAAGCGCACGUAGGCGGAUCGGAAAGUUGGGGGUGAAAUCCCGGGGCUCAACCCCGGAACUGCCUCCAAAACUAUCGGU
rnacentral:rRNA from 1 species